rnacentral:rRNA from 1 species
GAUGAACGCUGGCGGCGUGCCUAAUACAUGCAAGUAGAACGCUGAAGGAAGGAGCUUGCUCUUUCCGGAUGAGUUGCGAACGGGUGAGUAACGCGUAGGUAACCUGCCUGGUAGCGGGGGAUAACUAUUGGAAACGAUAGCUAAUACCGCAUAACAGUAGAUGUUGCAUGAUAUCUACUUAAAAGGUGCAAUUGCACCACUACCAGAUGGACCUGCGUUGUAUUAGCUAGUUGGUGAGGUAACGGCUCACCAGGGCGACGAUACAUAGCCGACCUGAGAGGGUGAUCGGCCACACUGGGACUGAGACACGGCCCAGACUCCUACGGGAGGCAGCAGUAGGGAAUCUUCGGCAAUGGACGGAAGUCUGACCGAGCAACGCCGCGUGAGUGAAGAAGGUUUUCGGAUCGUAAAGCUCUGUUGUAAGAGAAGAACGAGCGUGAGAGUGGAAAGUUCACACUGUGACGGUAUCUUACCAGAAAGGGACGGCUAACUACGUG